UGUUUUAUUUUUGAAUGAUUGUCAAUCUGGAUUCUGAAACUAAGUUGCAGUCAUGCAUCGAGAAACAGCCAAUAUUAUUGAAUGAACAAUGUCCAUCUUGCAAACGUGUAUAAAAUAUUUUCAAAGGUGCUUGAUAUUGUUUGUUUAUUAGCUAUUUGCAUUUUUGUGCAGUUGAAAGUUAUUAUUUGUUGCGAAUUGUUCGUGAGUAAACAAGUAAAGGCCUGCUGUGUACUAGGAUGCACGAAUAAGCAAGCGAUAAGGUGAGAGUAAUAUUUACUAUUUAUCAACAUAAAAAUAUUUAAAAUGAAAUUAAGUUCAUAUCUAUACGAGAAUAACUCUUUUCUUCCUAACUUCAUUAAUUUCUAUUUAGGAAAUCAUUUUGUUGAAUGGUUAAAUAUGUUGAAAGGUUUUAUCCUUAUUUUACAUUUCUAUGAAUGAAGACGUUUGCAGAAUUUGGUUGCAAAGAAUAAAUAGCCCCAAGUUAAUGCGUGUAGAUACAGUAUUAUCAUCACAUAGAAUAUGUGGUAUUCAUUUUAAACCAAUUUUGAACUCCAAUGGCAGGUUAAAAAACUUUUACUGCCAACUCUACAUUUACCUGGUAAGUACUUAUAUUUACUGUGACAAAAACCUCUUAUAAAUCCUGGUGAAAAGUUAUGCAGAAGAAAAGAAAUGCCAUUUCUGUCAGUACGUUACGAAAAAGGUAAAAAUGAUAUUUUUUGAGUACAGGAGCAACCAUCUUCAUUUUCAACUCCAAAAAAGUUUGAUAGGUAGGUAUGAAUUGUUGUAUAUAAUUAAUAUAAUUUCCACAAAAAUCUGCAUGUUAAUUCUUCUAGUCAUGUAAUCAAGAUGCUGAAUUGUUUGAAUCAUUGUACAUUUUGGGUAUUGGCAUGACUCAACCUUUUAUGGCAGUUAUAAGCAGGUAGUUAUUUGAAAACAAAGAGAAAUGGAUUGAUGUGUUUAACAUCUGGGAAACAGGCUUCAUGUUUUUAUUUCAUAUUAAUAACCAAAAGGUUUAUUCAAUAAUAAUUUAGGUGAAAGAUAAAUGUCAUUGUAUAUUUUCUAUAAUGUAGUUGUCCAAUUGUUUAUUUUUGCUUAAUGAUUUCCUUUUUCUAUUGAGAUUAAUUGAGACAUUUUUUAGAAUCAAUAGAGGGAACAAAAAACACAAAGAAGUGAUUAUUUCAAGCCCUUCUAAGUAUGAAUUCAAAAUGGCAAUAUUUUUAUAUAUAAUUGUAAUAGUUGUAGUCACAACUAUUGACAUGGUCCAUAUAAUAAAUUUGAAUUGAACCUGAAGUCAUGAAUUUAUAUAAUUUGUAGGUAGCUCCUCGAGAAUCCUAUAGGAACCAUCAAUAUCAACUAAUAUGGAAACAGAUAAACUUGAAGGGCACUCAACUGUGACAGUGAUGGUGCUUCUUCUCAGUAUAAGAACCGUAAAAACUUUUCAAACUUAUGCUGUCACAAAGAAGAUUUUAAAGGAGUUGAAGCAGAAUGGCAUUUUUAUGCUACAUCUAGUGAUGUGGGGAGGUAAAUUUUCGACUAUGUUUUUCCGGAAAAUUUUCAAUGUCAAAAAAGCAAUUUUUUAGAAAUUUUUCCAUUCUUUUAUUAGUUUUCUUUUAUUUGUCAAUUUCUGUACCAUUUAAACAAAAACUAUAGGUUAUAAUUCUAACUUUGUAAUCCACAUGAAUUGAAUAUUUGAUUCUGUUUUACUUAAAAUUUGUCCCAUUGUUUAAUUUAAGUCACCAUAUUUCAUAUCAUAACAAAAUAGCACUGGAAAUGAAUCACCAAUUUCUUUUGUUAUUUGAUAAAAUAAAGUAAUUAGGUAGUGGCAAAAGCCAGAAGAUGGCACCACUGCUAUAAAGAGAAUUGUGUAGUGGGACUAAAGCAAAAUUAAUCCUGCUCUCUGUGAAGAAAAAUGGGUAACCAGAGAAAAACAAGUGUGUGGAAACAUUUGGAUGAAGUCCAUGAAGAAAACAAAAUUAUUGGUAAAUGUAAAUAUUGUGAUCAAAGAUAUGCAAAUAAUGCCACAAGGAUGAAAAAACAUUUAUGUGCAUGUAAAAAAUGUCCAGAAAGAAUAAAAUGCAUUUUGCAAAAGUUGGUGCAACAUAAGACAGGAGAAACUUCUUGUGGAAGAAAUGUGCUUCAGAUAUCACAUGUGCAGGAAACUGAAUGCCCCCUGCCAAGGGAUCUCAGUGAACAACAAGCAACUUCAAGCAGCUAUUCAAAUUUAAAGAAUAUCUUAUCAAGAUUUGUUGACAAAAUAUCAACAAAAGACAAAGAAAAAGCAGGCGAGACAUUGGCACGUACUAUAUUUGCAAGUGGAACCCCACUUUCAAUUACUGAAAAUAAAUAUUGGGUGGAACACUACAAACGUAUUCGUCCAUCAUACAAAUUACCAUCAUGUUAUUGCUGAAGCGGAAUGAUUGACACUGCUCUCGGAUGGAUGGACUGACAUACAAGGAAAUCCUUUGAUGAACAUAAUGUUUGCAACACCUCAGCCAAUAUUCUUAAACGCAGUGAAUACAAAAUCUUCUCGUCAUACUGGAGAAUACAUAGCAGAAAUUUUGAGAACAGAGAUCGAAAGAGUAGGGCAUUCCAAAGUAAUAGCUCUUGUAUCUGACAAUGCAAGCAACAUGAAAUUAGCUUGGCAUAAGUUACAGGAACAAUAUCCUCACUUGAUUAUAUUUGGUUGCCUUGCUCAUGGAUUAAACCUUUUGGCAAAAGAUAUAAUAAGUUUGAAUUCAAUUUGAACAAUAUUGUCAAAAUGCAAGGCAAUUGUCAAAUUGUUUAAGAAUCACCACAUUGAAAAUCAAACAUUGAAGUUACAGUUAUAUUUAAAAAAAUCGAUGCCAAAAUAAAUGAGCAAUUGCCUUUUUCACCCCUGACCAAACAAGAAGACAAGUUCGUUAAAUCAUUUUUAACUGACAGAGACAAUUUCUGUUUUCAGCCAGUGCACUUAGCUGCAAAUCUUUUGGAUCCACGAUAUUGUGGACAAAAUUUGUCAAAAGAUGAUUUAAUGCCAGCUAUUGAAGCCAUAAUUGAAGUUGCUAAAAACACUCCUGGUAUCAAUGAAGUUACAGUAAUGACAGAUAUAGCAGAAUACAAAGCAAAACAAAAGCUCUGGAGUAAAGACAUUAUUUGGAAAGCUGCCUGUAAAAUAUCUCCAACAACUUGGUGGAAAGGUUAUUGCAGUACAAGAGAACUAUCUAGGGUUGCAGUCAGAAUUUUGAAUAUUCCCCCAACUGCCGCUUCAUGUGAACGCAACUGGAAGGCAUUUAGCAACAUUAAAACAAAAAAGAGAAAUAGAUUGACAGAUGAACGCACUGCGAAACUAGUAUCGGUUUCACAAAAUCUUCAUUUGUUAAGCGAUGACAAUGUCAUGUUUUUAAAUUCUAAUUAUGAUCAUGAUCUGUUAAACGAAAAUAUGGAUGCAGAUUUUUCACCUAGUUGUAGUAGCGAUUCUGAUUUAAGUCACUUUGUGCUUUCCAAUUCUGAGAGUGCCCUAGAAAGUUAGGACAUCAACAUCAUAGAAUAUUGGUGCUUUAACAGUUAGAAAAAUGUUUGCAGAAAAAAUUUGAUCAUAAUCAUAUUAUGUUUGAUACAGCUAAAGAAAUGACAGUUACGUCUCAGAUUUUGUUAAAAAAGCAUGGAAAACUUUAUAAAUAGUUGGUGAAUAUACUUUUAAUUUCUUAAUAAAAAAAUCUUUUGAACAAAAUUAACCUCAGUUUAAUCUUAAUAACUGUCAAUUCAUUUUGAUAACUUCAUAUUUAUGGUAAUAUUUUUAGAUGUAUAGUACUUUUAUUAAAAUUCAAAUAUGGCAAGAUAUCACAUUAUCAGUGAAUUUAUGAUACAGUGCUAUAAAGAAAUAUUUAUUUCAAUAUGAACCCAUUGUCAUCCCAUCUUCAAACUUGGUACAUAUGUUCUCAAGAGGUGUAUAAAUACAAUAUAUUUUUUUUCCAAAAAAAUGAAAAAUUUCAAUUUUGAGAUUUUGAAAUUUUUUUGAAAAAAAAGAUUUUGAAAUUUUUUAUGUUCUAUUAUAUAGCCAAGUUAUAUAUCAUGUUAAAGGUUAUAUAAAUCUCAAUAGAACGACACUGAUUUCAGCUCUCUAUGUUGAAUAGUUUUCAAGAUAGAGCAAUUUAAAUGUUUCAAAACAAUGCAAAAAUUAUGUAAUUUAAAAAAAAAUUAAGAUCAAUAUCUCUCAAACCGCUUGCUCAAAAAAUUCAAAAUUUUGGAUUUUUCAUCCU